ensembl:lncRNA
AUAGGAAGGAAUUAGAAGCCAUAUCCCUCUCUCUCCCCAUGUUCCUCUUCUGUAUGCCCCUGGAUCUGUCUGAAAGGUGAUUGUUUCCAGCAAACAACUGCACCGAAUUCCUCAAUCCAGCUGUUUUACUUCUCCCACUGUGUGUGUGUGCUUAUGGAUGCACAGCUCCUUCCUUCCUCCCGUGGCAGGAAUGGGGCUGUGGUGUUUCUGCUCUUCCAGCCUUCUGCCUUUUUCCUUUGUGCCAAAUACAGAUCAGUGAGCAAAUGUUUGCCUACAGAGCCAGGAUCUUCUGCUUGGAGAGGGCUGCACCCACUGCUGCUUUAAAAACCAGGUGCUGGCGUAAUUUGGCCAUAAUGUGGGAGCAAAUCAGCAGUUGAAACAAAAGCUUCUGUGGUGGUGGCUCCCUGAGGCUCUGACUUCCAUUCGUUUGCAGAGUUGGAGGGAACACGUGUGUCAUUUCACGGCCGUGAAACCUUACUGAUUGCUUCUAACAUCAGAAAAGCACAAUGUCAAAUGACAGCAUGUGUUUUUAGAAGCAAGGAAACUUUGAUUUAAGAACUCCAGGAGAAGAGCUGUUCUCCCAUGUAGGUAAGUUAGCGAGCAGUUACUGCACUCUUGUUUCAAGAACAAUAACAGUUUGCUGUUUGAAUUCACCUGGCCUUGGCUCCACACCGUUAGGCUGCAGUGCAUCUCUUCUGAAGGAUGCCCUGCCGCUGCAGGAGUUGCCCCGAUCCGGGGAUUUCACACACUGGGAUCAAAGUACCUCCUUAAUCCUGUUUUAUAGGAAUGGAUUGAGCUGCUUACAUUUUUCUUUCAUCCCUCUAGCUUUUGCUGACCACUUCUAAAUUGUUCUAAUUUUGCGAAUGUUCUUUUUUUUGGAGUGGGUGUCAGAACAGAACGUGCUCUUACAGUAGUGACCUUACUGACAUCGUGUAAACAAGAAGCUUUCUAUCCCGCUCUGAUGGUCCUGUUUGGCCAUCUCACACAUCCCCAGGACCUUUCUGGUAUUCAUGGACUUCUAGCAUUCGGAUUUUAAUCUUGUGAACCAAAUGUGCAUUCCUCACAUCGGCGUGGCCCUGUGGUGUCUGACCUGGGAGUACUGCCCAGCAGGAACGGCUGCAGAUGGGCAGUGCAGGGCAGGAGCCCCACCCCAUUAUUGCCUAUCCCUUCACCCCCGUGGGUUUGUUGGCUUUUUUCACCCCUAAGAUUUGAACAGCACUGACUGCUGAAGCUUUUCUACUUUAUUGAUCAAAAACCGUUGAAUUUUAGCCAGCCAAAACCAGAGCCAGGUCCAAAUUUUUCAGCCCACUGAAAUGGGCUCCACAGUGUUCCCAGUGCUGGAAGCGAAAGGUUUCUGUUGCACAGGUGUGUGUGUGUGUGUGUGUGUGUGUGUAAGUGCUGGUGGAGGCUGUGCUGAUGUGUGCUGGAUAGGUGAUGGUCACUUGUAAGCGUGAGAAGGAAGGGUAGCACUGAGAUGGAAUCAUUGGGCUCGUGUUGCUUUCAGUGCCCUCUGAUGGGGAUUUCAUCUUUAGGAGCACCACACACGUACUACGGGUGUUGAAAUGGGAGCUUCGGUGUGGAAUGGAGUUAUUGAAAUCAUUGUGCUCUAAAUCAUUACGUUUAUAUUCUGUUUGUAUUUCUUGUUAGGAGUUUUCACUCUGGAAAAUACUUCUUUUGGGUAUGCCAUCAGUUUUGAUGUGACACAAAUACUUGUCUUGGAGGAUAGAACGGCUCUUAUUUAAAAUGUUCCAAAUAUGCAAUAUGUCUUUUGGGAUGGAUGAAUGGUUAAAAAUAUAAAUAAAUAAAUAGACGAGAAUAAACCUACAGCACCU